rnacentral:rRNA from 1 species
UACAGAGGUCCCAAGCGUUGUUCGGAUUCACUGGGCGUAAAGGGUGCGUAGGUGGCCAGGUAAGUCAGAUGUGAAAUACCCGAGCUUAACUUGGGUGCUGCAUUUGAAACUGGGUGUCUAGAGUGCAGGAGAGGUAAGUGGAAUUCCUAGUGUAGCGGUGAAAUGCGUAGAGAUUAGGAAGAACACCAGUGGCGAAGGCGGGUCUCUGGGCCGAAACUGACGCUGAGGAGCGAAAGCGUGGGGAGCAAACAGG